rnacentral:rRNA from 1 species
AUUGAACGCUGGCGGCAGGCCUAAUACAUGCAAGUCGAGCGAGCGGCGGACGGGUGAGUAAUGUCUGGGAAACUGCCUGACGGAGGGGGAUAACUAGUGUAACCGGUAGCUAAUACCGCAUACCACCAGAUGUGCCCUGAUGGGAUUAGCUAGUAGGUGGGGUAAUGGCUCACCUAGGCAACGAUCCCUAGCUGGUCAGAGAGGGUGACAAGCCACACUGGAACUGAGACACGGUCCAGACUCCUACGGGAGGCAGCAGUGGGGAAUCUUGCGCAAUGGGCGAAAGCCUGAUCGAGCAAUGCCGCGUGUGUGAAGAAGGCCUUCGGAUCGUAAAGCCCUUUCAGCAAGGAAGCGUUACUCACAGAGGAAGCAACGGCUAACUACGUGCCAGCAGCCGCGGUAAUUC